UGUUGUCUGAGAAAAUGGCGGGAGCAAAAACGGGCUUUGGUCUAUGCGGAUCUCUGGCCUCUGAUUGGUCAGUGACGCGGAUUGCGCAAUAUCCACAGAGGGGUCAAUUAGCAGGCAAGGAGGAUCACAAAGAAAAAGAAAGAAAGCGAGCCUGAUGAGGAGAGAGCUGAUGGGCAAAAGAGCGAGAGGAAGACCAACAGGAAGGUGGACGGAGGAAGUGAGGAGGCUCCCGUGGAAAAUGAUGACAAGCCCGAGGGAAAACAAGAAGACGACCGCGGGCCGCUGAGAAGUGGCCAGCAGGACAAAAUUGUCCCCCGGGCCACAGUUUGGGCACCACUGACGUCCCAUGUCUGAAUGUGAUUUGUCAUCCGCAUUUUGGGGAGGACGGCGCAGCAAUCGCGUACCCGUCCAAUACUGCGAUAUUCUCGGACAUCCCUCGGGUUGCUUAUUCAAGUUGAUGUUUAUCAAGUAAAGAAAUGAAUGGCAGCGAUGACGGACGGGGUCACGAGGUCGUCCGUCGAAAACUCGCUGCGCUGGGAAGCGAAUUGUGUUCAAUGGUAAACAAGAAAAAAAAAAAAAAAAAUACAAGUCACGGCCCAAGAGUAGCGUCGACACGGACCGCCGUUACCUUAGUUCCAUUCAUUUUUUUAAACGACACUAUCACAUUUGGAACUGAAACUCGGUAGUCGAUCGGAGAAAGGAGACCAAACCCGCAAAAGUCCACCCGAGACUGUCAUGACAGCCACCGUAAAGUGCAAAGGUCAUCUCGAAUCCAAAACCCUUCUUCAUGUUGAAAUGAUCGCAAAGAAAUAAAUCAAUUCUCCGUCUAAGUUUCAAAAUUGUGGAACGGCCAUUUUGGGCAAAUCAUCAACAUCCGUCCCAUGACGCAAAAACUAUCUCAGGGAAGUCCCACCAGCUGUCCAAAAGGGACUUUUGCAGGAACCACCGAGGUCCCCAAGGCAAACGUCGAUUGAUGAGCGAGUCCAGAUUUGGAAGAAUUCACUCAUUCCUAUCUCACGAAUGAGCCACAGCAGGACAGGUCCAACGUCCCAAAAUGACGACCGCUAAAACUCGGACAUUUGCUCCAGCAGUGUUUCUAUGGCAACGUGAACGCAAACAGCACUGGACAGGAAAUCAGGCGGAUUCAUAUCUGCGUCCUCGUGUUGUUCUUCGAGCGCCGGGACGUGCCGGCGCAAUGGCGAGGGGGAGCAAGACGGAGAGGGAGCGGGAGCGGGAGAGUGGGCCGCGGGGGGCCGCCUGACCUUGGCCCGACUCCGGGACGCAUCUGGCGGACAAAAGCGGGGCAUCGUUCCCGCCGCACGGUUCCGGUUUGACGGAGCUUUGUUCGCUGCGCGGUUAGCGUCGUCAUCGCACUGCUUCAAACGAGCCUGCCUGCCUGCCUGCUUCCCGGGUUCGGUUCCGUCCCCGCAUCGUGACGGCCAGCCGCGCCUCCCUUCCUCCGAAAAAGCCCACCGUUGAACGACACGUUUGACUUUGACCAAAACGCCAUUUUGGCCAGAAACGACGAGUAGCCCGCUAACGUCGGCUAGCUAGCGAGCGCCCGCCCGGCCGGCCGGCCGCUCGCGGCAAACGAACCGCGGCACGAGCGAACCGCGACCAACGCGCGCGAGACGCCCGCCCGCUGUUGUCCGCAAUCUUUGGGCUGACGGCGGUGCAGCCGCGGCCGACCGACCGACCGACCGGCCUGCCUUGCGGCCGCAUCAGCCCCGUCCGCUAGCCGCCGAGCUAGCUAGCCCGCAGCUACACAAAGAUGUCGAGAGGGGGGAAAGGAGCCGCAGCUUCGGGAGCCGCUCCGAGCGUCAAACUUACCCGUCCGCCGGCUUCCGCGUCCCGCUAUGCGAGAAGCACUUCCGCCGCGCAGGCGCGGCGCGGCGCCGCGUCCGGCCGAGAAGCACCACGAACCGGCGACGCCGAGUUGACGUCUGUGACCCGCUCGUGCGACCUGCCCAGAAGCGUUUUCAUGCGGACGAAAGACGCGAGCGCCAUGUUGGCUCGCUGAGCCCCCGACACCGUUGCUUUGCUUGGACUCAUUCUUGUUUCUUGUUAUUGUUGUGAUCCCUCUUUCAACAACAAAUACAUAAAAUAAACAAGAACGUGUA